GCAUCCGUAGCUCAGCUGGAUAGAGUACUCGGCUACGAACCGAGCGGUCGGAGGUUCGAAUCCUCCCGGAUUCACCA
rnacentral:tRNA from 1 species